GCGGAUGUGGCUCAGUUGGUAGAGCAUCACCUUGCCAAGGUGAGGGUCGCGGGUUCGAGUCCCGUCAUCCGCUCCA
rnacentral:tRNA from 20 species